rnacentral:rRNA from 1 species
AAGUUUGAUCUUGGCUCAGAACGAACGCUGGCGGCAGGCUUAACACAUGCAAGUCGAACGCGUGUAGCAAUACACGAGUGGCGCACGGGUCGAGUAACACGUGGAUAUCUGCCUUUUGGUUCGGGAUAACCCUGGGAAACGUAGGGCUAAUACCGGAUGGUUCCUACGGGAUAAAGAUUUAUCGCCAAAAGAUGAGUCCGCGUCCGAUUAGCUAGUUGGUGGGGUAAUGGCCCACCAAGGCGACGAUCGGUAGCUGGUCUGAGAGGACGAUCAGCCACACUGGGACUGAGACACGGCCCAGACUCCUACGGGAGGCAGCAGUGGGGAAUAUUGGACAAUGGGGGGCAACCCUGAUCCAGCCAUGCCGCGUGAGUGAUGAAGGCCUUCGGUUGUAAAGCUCUUUUGGUCGGGGGACGGAUGAUGACGGUACCC